UACGCCCGGUUUCCGAAAGGAUGAUCAUCUCAAAAAUUAUGUAAUCGACGAUUAACAAUAGAUUAAAUGCGUCAGAAACGUCAACCAAACUAGUUUUAACAACAGUCGAUUAACCAGUUUCGCUUGUCAAACGGCGGUAAAAAUGGACUGUUACCUAAUCUGCGACUAUCCGUCGAUUAACGGGCUGUUAAGAGUUUUUUUUAGUUUUUUAAUUACUGUAAUUAACAAA
rnacentral:lncRNA from 1 species